rnacentral:pre_miRNA from 1 species
UAGGAUGACCAACUGUCCUGGUUUGCCUGAAACAGAGGCAUUUCCCAGGACACAGGACUCUUUGAAAGCUAAAAGCAGGACAGUUCUGGGUAAUCCAGAACAGUUGGUCAUUCUAAUUAAAA